rnacentral:rRNA from 1 species
UACAGAGGGUGCGAGCGUUGUUCGGAAUUAUUGGGCGUAAAGGGCUCGUAGGCGGCCAACUAAGUCAGACGUGAAAUCCCUCGGCUUAACCGGGGAACUGCGUCUGAUACUGGAUGGCUUGAGUUUGGGAGAGGGAUGCGGAAUUCCAGGUGUAGCGGUGAAAUGCGUAGAUAUCGCUUGGAACGCCGACGGCGAAAGCAGUCUGCUGGGGGCCUUCUGACGCUGAGACACGAAAGCCAGGGGAGCGAACGGG